UACGGAGGGGACUAGCGUUGUUCGGAAUUACUGGGCGUAAAGCGCACGUAGGCGGAUUUGUAAGUUAGGGGUGAAAUCCCGGGGCUCAACCUCGGAACUGCCUUUGAUACUGCAAAUCUCGAGUCCGGAAGAGGUGAGUGGAAUUCCUAGUGUAGAGGUGAAAUUCGUAGAUAUUCGGAGGAACACCAGAAGCGAAGGCGGCCAACUGGCCCGAUACUGACGCUGAGGCGCGAAAGCGUGGGGAGCAAACAGG
rnacentral:rRNA from 1 species